ACCAGCGGAGGGAUCAUUACCGAGUUUACAACUCCCAAACCCCUGUGAACAUACCACUUGUUGCCUCGGCGGAUCAGCCCGCUCCCGGUAAAACGGGACGGCCCGCCAGAGGACCCCUAAACUCUGUUUCUAUAUGUAACUUCUGAGUAAAACCAUAAAUAAAUCAAAACUUUCAACAACGGAUCUCUUGGUUCUGGCAUCGAUGAAGAACGCAGCAAAAUGCGAUAAGUAAUGUGAAUUGCAGAAUUCAGUGAAUCAUCGAAUCUUUGAACGCACAUUGCGCCCGCCAGUAUUCUGGCGGGCAUGCCUGUUCGAGCGUCAUUUCAACCCUCAAGCACAGCUUGGUGUUGGGACUCGCGUUAAUUCGCGUUCCUCAAAUUGAUUGGCGGUCACGUCGAGCUUCCAUAGCGUAGUAGUAAAACCCUCGUUACUGGUAAUCGUCGCGGCCACGCCGUUAAACCCCAACUUCUGAAUGUUGACCUCGGAUCAGGUAGGAAUACCCGCUGAACUUAAGCAUA
rnacentral:rRNA from 1 species